AGCCAGUGCUGAGCCCCACUGCGAGAGCCGCCCACACUUGCAAGGGGUUAUUUCUGUAUACAGCUGAGGAAGCAACGUUCACUUCUUGCUUUCUGCUCGGAGCUGUCAGGAAACGGCCCACUAGGGUCAGGCUGGAAUCAAACCUCUGUGUUAAGCUCCAGAGUCAACUCAGUCUGCUAAGUUAGUUUGGGGAGCCAUCAGUUACCUGCUGUUUUACCCUCUGGUGUGGGUCCCUGGGCAGCAGGGUGUCAGCAUCAGCCAAGCUGGCAGGGCUGCUUUCCAAUGGAGCCUGCUGCUGUUGCUAUUUUUCUAGAAGCCAAAGCAGGAUCCUCACAUCAGAGCUUCAGCUCCCUGCUGCUUGUCAAUCACAGCUGCACGACUGAGGCUGAGGGACCAGACGCCUGGCUGCCCGCCACUGGAGCUGGGUAGCAGAUUUGCUGAGGUAUCUUUGGGGCCAGUCCAGCCUUCCAGCUCACUGUGAGGGCUGGGGAUGAAUUCCUCUGAGCAGCCAAAUGCAGCUCAAAAUGAACAUGAUCAAUCAGUGGAAUGAAAGCUUUGGUCAACUUGCCCCGGCGUGACAGAGAAGGCUAGCACCAGCCCCUGUUUUUCUCCUGCACCUGAUAAAUUGCAAGAGGUAUGUGUAUCUGCCAUUGUACUGAGGUCAGACACUACCCAGUGAUAAUGGGAAAAAAUGGUAGUGUGGAGAAGUUUCCAGAGGAAGACAAGGAAGAAAAUGGAAAACCCAUAUUUAAGUUGUAGGUCCUUCUGGCUGUGCUAUGUGGGACACCACCUCAGCACUGUAUAGGUUCACGCCCAGGAUCCGAACCAGCGAAAGCCUGGGCUACCGAAGCGGAGCAUGAACUUACCACUCGGCAAAGGGGCUGGCCCCUCAAUAACUAUUAAACAAACAAGUGUUUCCAAAUUAACUUCUAAGAAAAAGAACAUUUUAAAUAAAUGGUUUAUAAGCAAAUAUUGACAUCUUGGGAAACUAUAAUGGGGAUUCU
rnacentral:lncRNA from 1 species